GAUGAACGCUAGCGGCAGGCCUAACACAUGCAAGUCGAGGGAGAAGCCCUUUCGGGGGCAGAAACCGGCGCACGGGUGCGUAACGCGUAUGCAACCUACCUUUCACAGGGGGAUAGCCCGAAGAAAUUUGGAUUAAUACCCCAUAAUAUUAUUGGAUGGCAUCAUUUGAUAAUUAAAACUGCGGUGGUGAAAGAUGGGCAUGCGUCCUAUUAGCUAGUUGGAGUGGUAACGGCACCCCAAGGCUACGAUAGGUAGGGGUCCUGAGAGGGAGAUCCCCCACACUGGGAAUGAGACAGGGACCAGACUGCUACGGGAGGCAGCAGUGAGGAAUAUUGGUCAAUGGUCGGAAGACUGAACCAGCCAUGCCGCGUGCAGGAAGAAUGCCUUAUGGGUUGUAAACUGCUUUUAUAUGGGAAGAAUAAGGCGUACGAGUACGUUGAUGACGGUACCAUAUGAAUAAGCAUCGGCUAACUCCGUG
rnacentral:rRNA from 1 species